rnacentral:rRNA from 1 species
GUAGGCAUCCACAUUUAUUUGCCUCUCUGCAACUCUCACAUGGUUGCCUACUGAAGCUAAACAGGGCUACGCCCGGUCAGUACUUGGAUAGGAGACCACAUGGGAAAAUUAGGUUGCUGCCGGAA